UACGUAGGGUGCAAGCGUUGUCCGGAAUUAUUGGGCGUAAAGAGCUCGUAGGCGGUUUGUCGCGUCUGCCGUGAAAGUCCGGGGCUCAACUCCGGAUCUGCGGUGGGUACGGGCAGACUAGAGGUAUGCAGGGGAGAACGGAAUUCCUGGUGUAGCGGUGGAAUGCGCAGAUAUCAGGAGGAACACCGGUGGCGAAGGCGGUUCUCUGGGCAUUACCUGACGCUGAGGAGCGAAAGUGUGGGGAGCGAACAGG
rnacentral:rRNA from 1 species